rnacentral:tRNA from 1 species
GCCCGGGUGGCGGAAUUGGUAUACGCAGGGGACUUAAAAUCCCCCGCCGUAAGGCUUGAGGGUUCGAGUCCCUCCCCGGGCA